rnacentral:tRNA from 1 species
GCCCGGCUGGCUCAGUCGAUGAAGCGUCCGACUUCGGCUCAGGUUAUGAUCUCGCGGUCCGUGGGUUCAAGCCCCGCGUCAGGCU